rnacentral:rRNA from 1 species
UUGCNCNGCGNGGAAUUCGAUUGGCGGACGGGUGAGUAAUGCAUAGGAAUCUGCCCGAUAGUGGGGGAUAACCUGGGGAAACCUAGGCUAAUACCGCAUACGUNCUACGGGAGAAAGGGGGCUUCGGCUCCCGCUAUCGGAUGAGCCUAUGUCGGAUUAGCUGGUUGGUGAGGUAAAGGCUCACCAAGGCGACGAUCCGUAGCUGGUCUGAGAGGAUGAUCAGCCACAUCGGGACUGAGACACGGCCCGAACUCCUACGGGAGGCAGCAGUGGGGAAUAUUGGACAAUGGGGGGAACCCUGAUCCAGCCAUGCCGCGUGUGUGAAGAAGGCCCUCGGGUUGUAAAGCACUUUCAGUGAGGAAGAACGCCUGGUGGUUAAUACCCAUCAGGAAAGACAUCACUCACAGAAGAAGCACCGGCUAACUCCGUGCCAGCAGCCGCGGUAAUACGGAGGGUGCGAGCGUUAAUCGGAAUUACUGGGCGUAAAGCGCGCGUAGGUGGCUUGAUAAGCCGGUUGUGAAAGCCCCGGGCUCAACCUGGGAACGGCAUCCGGAACUGUCAAGCUAGAGUGCAGGAGAGGAAGGUAGAAUUCCCGGUGUAGCGGUGAAAUGCGUAGAGAUCGGGAGGAAUACCAGUGGCGAAGGCGGCCUUCUGGACUGACACUGACACUGAGGUGCGAAAGCGUGGGUAGCAAACAGGAUUAGAUACCCUGGUAGUCCACGCCGUAAACGAUGUCGACCAGCCGUUGGGUGCCUAGCGCACUUUGUGGCGAAGUUAACGCGAUAAGUCGACCGCCUGGGGAGUACGGCCGCAAGGUUAAAACUCAAAUGAAUUGACGGGGGCCCGCACAAGCGGUGGAGCAUGUGGUUUAAUUCGAUGCAACGCGAAGAACCUUACCUACUCUUGACAUCCUGCGAAUUCGGUAGAGAUACCUUAGUGCCUUCGGGAACGCAGAGACAGGUGCUGCAUGGCUGUCGUCAGCUCGUGUUGUGAAAUGUUGGGUUAAGUCCCGUAACGAGCGCAACCCUUGUCCUUAUUUGCCAGCGCGUAAUGGCGGGAACUCUAAGGAGACUGCCGGUGACAAACCGGAGGAAGGUGGGGACGACGUCAAGUCAUCAUGGCCCUUACGAGUAGGGCUACACACGUGCUACAAUGGUCGGUACAAAGGGUUG